UACGAAGGGGGCUAGCGUUGUUCGGAAUUACUGGGCGUAAAGCGCACGUAGGCGGAUAUUUAAGUCAGGGGUGAAAUCCCGGGGCUCAACCCCGGAACUGCCUUCGAUACUGGGUAUCUUGAGUUCGGAAGAGGUGAGUGGAAUUGCGAGUGUAGAGGUGAAAUUCGUAGAUAUUCGCAGGAACACCAGUGGCGAAGGCGGCUCACUGGUCCGAUACUGACGCUGAGGUGCGAAAGCGUGGGGAGCAAACAGG
rnacentral:rRNA from 1 species